GUACACACCGCCCGUCGCUACUACCGAUUGGAUGGCUUAGUGAGGUCUUUGGAUUGCCGAGUGAUUGCAGCAAUGUGAACACUUGGCGAGAAGUUGCCCAAACUUGGUCAUCUAGAGGAAGGAGAAGUCGUAACAAGGUUUCCGUAGGGAACCUGCAGAAGGAUCA
rnacentral:rRNA from 1 species